rnacentral:lncRNA from 1 species
AACUGUGAGAUAUUUUUACUCACAUUGUGAUUCCUACACAAAAUGCCAAAGUGUGAAAAAUAAAUUCUUCCUGGGAGGUGAUACGGACCUCAGGAGGGGCAGUGGACACUGUUGUGAAGAAAACUCACCGGCUUUAAGCGACAUAUCUAAGUUCUUUGGCCUCAGUUGUCUCAUCGAGAAAGUGGGAUUAAACAUUUCCUUAUCUGAGUGUUGUAAGCACUGCAUUUGGUCCAGAGUUAAGCUUAGAAAUAGUCGAGAAAUAAGUUUCGAACAAAGUGUCAAGCUGCAUGACAAAGAAGCAUCUCUCUUUCAUUAAUGUCCUGUGACAGAGUGAGCGGCAGAGACACAAUGAAAGGAUUCCGUAGCAGUUGAUUUUUCACAGAGACGAGAAAAGUGGUUUCUUUCUCUGUCCCAGAACUAAGGCUUGGUCAGAGGAUUUCAACAGAUAAUAACCAAAUGUCUGCAGGAAAUUUGCAGAAACAAUUGAUUUCCUUCCCAAGGACUGGAAAUGGCGCGGGCAGUUGGGCAAUAAAGGAGCUGCCGUAAUUUUCUGCUCCAUUUCUACGACGGCAACAAAAACAUGAUGGCGGAGAACACCGCCAAGUGACAAUCUUCAUUUCAUUCCUCGGGGCUGGAAAACACAUCCGUUUAUUAAGUCUCUAAAAGCUGGAACCACAGAUUGCAGCAACGAGACGCGACAGAGAAAAGAUUAGUUGGGUUGAGCCAACCGUAUGUGGCAACCGAAUGAAAAGAUGGUUCGAGAUGGUGCCCGUAUGGAGAAGCAGCGGGCCAGUCCCUGGGAAGACCAUGAACAGAGAGCGCUCAUUUACAUCCGACGUGAAGUGUGUCUUCCUAGGCGCCUGGCAAGCUCCCUAGAAAAGGAGAUUAAUGCAAGUGGGGAAUAUGAACUCUCUCUAGCAAACCACGUCCAUUUUCCGCCUGGGGAGGGCUCUGAGUGAUGGAUGCCACUGACCUUGGAGGAGGAGGAUGUGAAUGAGGUCUGUCCCAGUGCCUUCCGCUGCUUCCCGACUCUUCCCAACUUGCCUUUCACAGUGAAGUCUCAUCUGUCCCAACAUCCCUGGGCAAAGAGCGAGUCCACCUGAAUGCAUUUCACCAAAAAGAGGCUUUCCCUCUGUUCAAAUUUCAAAUGCUGAUUUAUGUCAAGUUGAACAUAUUUGUGUAGAAGUCUUUUCAGAAUUAAUGCCAGGCUUCCCUGCCCUCUCGGCAGGUACCCGUUUGGUGAGCCGGCCUAUAAGUCGGUACAGGGCACAGAGCCGGCUUAGAAGGGCACUAGACAGUGUCCCAUGCUUCUUGCUCUAUCACUUUAUUUCUUUUUAUAAUUCAAGGUCAUCAAUGUGACUCCUGCAGAGGGAGGGGUGCCUCUGUAGAGGUGGACAAGGUGUGAGAUGAAGCUGGGGAGAUACAAAGGGCUAUAUGCUUUUUGAGUAUUUGCGCCUGAGAUUUUUCUCCCCUACCCCUUUCACCACUAGGCUCUAUGAAUGGCCAUUUCUUGGUCCUCUUGUCCACGGUGCCCACCCAGGCUCCGUGCCCUCCCUGAACACCAGACCUGCUCCUAAGACUCUCCGCUGGAAAGCUCCACAAGAACACGGAACAGGUAACUCAACAGACACUGCCAGAACCGGCACCUGCUCUGACUCCCCAAACCUCGGCCCCCCACUCGUCCUCCUCUCAGCAAGGGAAACUCCAUCCUGCCAGUUACUGAGGUCCCAGGACUUGGAGUCACUCUUGACGACUUUCCUUCUCUCUCCCCACCUCCAGGGAAAUAAGUAAAUCCGGGAAGCCUGACCCUCAGAAGAGGGAGGAGGCAGAAGCUGAUGACUCCUCCCCUUCCCACGGCAGCCACCCUGGUCCAAGCCACCGCCUCCUCUCUCCUAGGUCACUGCAGACUUCCCUCCUGGCCGCCUGGUUUCUGGCCUCGUCUCCCUGUAAUCAAUCCAAGGAUUCCUCCAAGUCACACUCGGUGGGUGGCCUGUGAGGUCCAUGCCUCUGGACCGUCAUGAGCCCUCUGACCUUGUCACCUUCCUCCUUCCAGUCCACUCGGCUCCACCCCGCCCCCACCGGCCCUCGCUGCUCCUCACACGAGCCAGACCCAUUCCUCCUCGGACCCCUGCCCUUGCCCUUUCUUCUGUCUACACUGCUAUUCACCUAGAUACCCACAUGGUUCUCCUCCCAGCUUCAGAUCCUGACUCGAGCAUUACUUUCCAGCAAGGCCCUCUCUUUCCUCUCCUCACUGUGCUUUAUUUCAACACUCAAUCCCUACCCAACAUAAAACAAAGUUUGCGGAUACAUCUUGUUUAUUGCCUCCACCCACUGGAAUGUAAGCUCCCUGAGAACAGGGAUGUUUUCUCCUGUCCUGUGCACAGCUAUAUCCCUGACCCUGGCGACAGCACCUGGCACACAGAUCAACACCAAAAAUAUUUCCUGAACGAAGUUCUCUUCCUAAUGAAGUCACGGAGCCUGCUUCUAGACAUAUAGGUAGUGAUUGUGAGCAAGGGUUUUUUUUUUUUUCUUUCUUUUUUGGCCGCCCUGUGGCGUAUGGACUUCCAGGGCCAGGGAUCAGGUCCAAGCCAUAGCUGCGACCUAAGGUGAGGUGGUGCCGGAUCCUUAAUCCACUGUGCUGGGCCAGGGAAGCACCCAAGAUGCCACCAAUCCUGCUGCGCCGCACAGGAGACCCCAUGAGCAAGGAUUUUUAGUUCAGACUAUUAAAGAUUCAAAAACCUGCUCUAACCCUGCUUUAGCUGGGCGACCUUGGGCAAGGUAUUGAACUUUUCUAAAUGUAGUUUUAUCAUCUCUAAGACAGGUAUGAUGAUGUACAAAAAAGUAUGUAAAGUACUGAGCAGAGAACUCAGCAAACUAAUCACUCAAUACAUAGGCGUCAUUAUGCGAAUGAUCCUCAGAGCCACACCUCAGCACAGGUGUCUAGCAUCUGUCACCUGUUGACGACAACACCCCCGACUCAGCUUCCUGAACCUAGCAUUUCCCCAGACCUCCGUGUCUUCUACGCUCUGGGGCCAGGGUGCUCUUCCAGAACAGAAAUCGAACUGGUAAUGGGGGAUACAUCCAAAAAUUCUCUCUUCCAAAAAAAACUGGCAGUAAAUUGUCAAAACCAACUGUGCCAGAACUCACAAAGUUAACCAAAGGCUUGCAGUCAUCUGGGAAGCUUUUAUUCACAAUAAAUGGCUAAACCUUGGUAAGAACAGUGAGAUUUGUGGGGUUUUAACUUGCCCUAUUCCAAUUUCCCUACCACCGGCUCCAUGGUUGCCUUGAAAACUGACCAUAGGAAAAACGCAGCCUGACAGUCAUCAGACGGAUCAAAACAGAGCUGGAGCUCCUCUGAAGUUUCAUUCCCAAGGAACUGUCAUCAUCGACGUCUCCAGUAGUUCCCUAGAAGACUCCGCUUGCAGAGUCAUCUUUAUACCCCCUGACUUGGAAUUUACUCCACGUAAAUAUCCUUUUCCCUGGGGAUGUUUAUCAAAAAAAGAAAAAAAAAAUUAAAGGCAACUGUUUAACUAUCUGGCUGGGUGCUUUGCGGCUGCCCGAGGCAGUGAGUAACAGUUGGGACAGACAAUUAGCCAGCCAAAAAGCUGAGGAGGAAAAGCUGAGGAAUGAACCUCCAAGGCAGCUCUAAAAAGCCGUGACGCCUUCCUGGGGAUCUAGAAGGCCACGUACAUGCGCCUGGGCAGGGCUGGGAGUGUGCUCAGGGCUGUGUGGAUGCUCACACAAGACCUAAGAAGGCCCCAGGCUGCUGCUGGCUGACCUCCAUACGCCGCUGGACCCGGAAGUGAAAGCUAAGGCGGAGCUGUCAACUCCCUGGCUGAGUGGCCAGGGUGAAGAUGAGCCCCUCCUGCACACAGAGCCCUGGGCAAAGACUGGGAGAUGCACUGGCUAUGGAAAUGCAAUGAAAUCUCUCUCCACUCAUUAACUGAUCACUGAGUUAACUGCGCAGACAGUUUCAUGUCUAUACAUGAAAAAGAUGAUCGAUUUUACAGAAUUAAUUCAGAAAAGGGUUUGCACCAAACAGUAACAACAAAGCUUGGCAACAAGGUAGAUGCUGAUUUCCCAAGUUACCACCUCACAAUAUUCAAAAUGUCAACUCUUCAACAGAAAAACCUAUGAGGCAUGCGAAGCAAAGAAUGUAUAGGGUAUAUACUGGAGAGAAAGAAUUAACAGAGAUUUUUUUCCUGAGACAGCUCAGACACUGGACUUACUAGAUAAAGAGUUUAAAUCACUUAUUUUAAUAUGUUCAAAGAUACAAAGGAAACGGUGUCUAAAGAACUGAUGGGGAGCAUGAUAAUGUCUCACCAAAUAGAGAACAGCAAUAAAGAGAUGAAAUUAUGAAAAAGAACCAAAAUGCAAUUCUGUAGUUCAAAACUAUAAUAACUACAACAGAAAAUUUACUAGAGGAGCGCCACAUUAGAUUUGAGCAGGUGGAAGAAGCUUGAAGGUGGGUCAAUUAAGAUUAUCCAGUGUAAGGAAUAGGAAGAAAAAAAAGGAAGAAAAAACUGAACAAAGCCUCAGAGAUCUGUGGAGCACCAUCAAAAAUUCCAAUACAUGCUUAAUGGGCAUCUCAGAAUGAGAGGAGACAAAAGGGCAGAAAGAACAUUUGAAGAAAUAAUGGCAAAAAACUUUCCAAAUUUGAUGAAAAACAUUAACCUGCACAUUCAAGAAGGUCAAAUUUAAGGUCUGGUUAGGAUAAACUCAAAGAGGCCCACACCCACAUAUCACAAUCAAACUGUCUAAAACCAAAGAAAAAGAAUCCUUAGAGCAUCAAGAUAAAAGGGACUCAUCAUGUCCUAGACAUCCUUACUAAGACGAAUAGCUCUCAUCAAAAAACCAUGGACGAAUGGGACCUAAUUAAGCUUAAAAGCUUUUGCACAGCAAAGAAAUUCAUCCACACCAUGAAAAGACAACCUACUGAAUGGGAGAAAGUAUCUGCAAGUGAUACGACCAACAACAACAACAAAAAACAGCUCAUACAACUCAACAUCAAAAAAACAAACAACCCAAUUAAGAAAUAGUCAGAAGACUCAGACAUUUUUCAAAAAAAGACACACAGAUGGCCAACAGGCUCAUGAAAGGAUGCUUAACUUCGUUAAUCAUCAGAGAAACGCAUGUUAAAACCACAAUGAGAUAUCACCUCCUACCAGUCAGAAUGGCUACCAUCAAAAAAGAACACAAAUAACAAAUAUUGGAGAGAAUGAUGUGGAGAAAAGGGAACCCUCACACACUGUUGGUGGGAAUGUAAAUUGGUGCAGCCACUGUGGAAACAGUAUGGAGGUUUCUGAAAAAACUAAAAAUAGAACUACCAUAUGACCGAGGAUUUCCACUCCUGGGAAUAUACAUCUAUGCCCAAAGAAGAAAACACUUAUUUGAAAGAAAUCUGCACCCCAAUAUUCAAAGCAGCAUUAUUUACAACUGCCAAGAUGUGGAAGCAAUCUAAGUGUCCAUCAACAGAUGAGCGGAUAACUACUUGGCCAUAAAAAAUGAUGAAAACUUGCCAUCUGAAACACAUGGACGGACUUAAAGAAUAUUGUGCCAACUUAAAUAAUUCAGAGAAAGACAAAUACUACAUAUCACUAAAAAAUAAAACAAACUAGUGAGUGUAGCAAAAAGGAAACAGACUCACAGAUACAGAGAACCAACUAGCUGUACCCAGUGGGAGGAGGGAAGGGGGAGGGGCAAGGGAUUAAGAGAAAUAAACGACUAUGUAGAAAAUAAUCUACAAGGAUAUAUUGUACAACACAGGGAAUACAGCCAAUAUUUUAUCAUAAUUAUAAAUGAAAUAUAAUCCUCAAAAAUUGUGACCACUAUAUUGUACACCUGAAAUGUAAAUAAUAUUGUAUAUCAACUAUACCUCAAUUAAAAAAAAAAAACAUGGAGGGCAGAAGGCAGUAGGAUGACAUGUUCAAAACGCUGAAAGAAAGAGCAUCACCCAGGAACUCUAUACCCAGCAAGAAAGACUAUUCCUCAAGAAAAUGAAAGCAAAAUUAAGAUAUGCUCAAAUUUAAAAACAAAACAAAACAAAAAACUUGAGAGAAUUUGUUACCAGCAGAUGGGCCUUACAAGAAACACUAAAAGUAGUCCUUCAGGGAGUU